CCUACGGGUGGCAGCAGUGAGGAAUAUUGGUCAAUGGGCGGAAGCCUGAACCAGCCAAGUAGCGUGCAGGAUGACGGCCCUACGGGCUGUAAACUGCUUUUAUACGGGAAUAACUCGCGUUACGUGUAGGGUUUUGCAUGUACCGCAUGAAUAAGGACCGGCGAAUUCCGGGUCAGAAGCCGCGGUAAUACGGAGGGUCCGGGUGUUACGCGGAUUUAUUGGGGUUAAAGGGAGCGUAGAGGGGGUGCCAAGCCUGCUGUGAAAGGUCGGGGCUCAACCCGGGGCUUGCAGGGGGAACUGGGGGGCUGGAGGGCAGGAGGGGCAGGCGGAAUUCGUGGUGUAGCGGUGAAAUGCUUAGAUAUGAGGAGGAACCCCGAUGGCGAAGGCAGCUUGCUGCAGCGCAACUGACGCUGAUGCUCGAAAGCGCGGGUAUCAAACAGGAUUAGAUACCCGAGUAGUC
rnacentral:rRNA from 1 species